GCAUGUGUGUUCUCCGUGACAUUCUUGAAGUUGUGAGUAAUUAGAUCGUUUUUUGCUGCGUUUAGAUUGUACCACCUCGUUGUUCUCGCGUACGUUUGUGCUCAUCGACGCGAAGUGAGCGUCCGGACUGAAGGCGACGCGAUUAUGCGUGAGAAAGAAGGGCAGCAGCGGCCUACGGCAUCGGUGUUUCUUUGUGACAGUGUGUUUACUACGCCUACGACGGCCGUCAUUCGUGGCGAAGGAGAAAACAUCUUCCAUUGGGCCUGAACAGUGAUGAAGUGGACGUUUUGUUUUUCGGCGGAAUCCAUCGUCAACAUCGUCCAUCCACUACGUAAACGAAACGGCGUGCCCACAGUACACAUCGUGACAGCCUUCAAACUCCGCCUUCAAACCGAGGGCCUUUUGCAAGGCGCAUGAACUGCUCAUAUAAAAGUCACAGUCAGCAUGAAGCAAUUGCAUGGGAACCGAGUGGCUGUCUUGGGCCUACACAUUGCUGAAAAGACAGUGAAGACGUCUGAGCCAACAGGUAGAAAAGAAGCAGAUGGCUACAGCAAUCAAUGAAGAAAUGGCUUCAUCUAUGAUGGCUCGCCUUAGGACAUUGGAAUGGAGCUACACAAAGGCAUCAUCAUCCGCGCCUGUGCCCUGGAACUUUGGUUUGAAUGAGACUGUUCUUCAACGUAGAACGGCCACAAGACUUGUCACCACAUACAAGGCAUAGUGCAAACUCUAAAUAUUG